rnacentral:piRNA from 1 species
UGGAUGCUUAUUAAACCUUGAUCCUUUGUU